GGCUGUAUGUAGGCCAGCAGAAGGCCACUGGCAUCAGGCAUGGGAGCUGUUUGCGGGCAGGAAGCACGGAGCUGGGAGCCAAGCACAGCAGGGCACUCACAGCCUGCAGCCCUGUGACUCCUCAGAGCAAAGGUACAGCUCUACUCCUCAUUUGCACAAACAAAGCUAAUUGCACGUGGUCUAUCAGGAAGGGUACGGUUAGAAGUGCUGGUGAUAACGGCACCAGAAGCAGCAUGUGGGAGCCUCCGGGCACUGAGCUUGUGCCAGGGAUCCUGGUAUACUGCCAGCUCCAACUGCCACGUUGUGCAGGCCAGCGGCCGAGGCACGUCUGCGCGUUUUGCCAAGAGCAGAGCGUUGCUCAGAGCGGGAUGCAGGUGGCAGCAGCACAGCACGGCCUCUGCUCCGGGCAUCAUCUGAAUGACGGCUGCCGCUGCCAAAGCACUCAGCGCUGCCGUGCGUGCCUUUUCAGUCUUCUUCCUUUCCUAAAUACACGUGCUGACUCUUACCUUUGUUCUGCUAAUCACCAGCGCCCGGAGCGGUUGGGGGAAAAGAUUCCCUUCCCUCGAGCAGAAGUGCCUGGGGCUGAUGGUGUAAUAACUCAUGCAGUGCCAGGAGGAAUUCAUUUUGGAGCAAAAAGUUAUCUGUCGGAAUUCCUGAAUGUAUUUAAGAAAGCCUGAAAUGUCGGUAAGUGGAGCCCGGAGGAAAGGAUGCCACGUCCCCUCCCCUACAGACUGUCCUGGGAGAUGCACCCUGCCUAAAAAUGCCCCUUCUAACCUGGGGGGGACUUGGACACUCGGAUACUCGGCACAGCAUCGGUGUUGAACACAUUCCCUCCCGCGUUGUCUUUGCCCUCUCGUUGCUGGGAAGCGGCUCAGAUCUGCCGACGCAGCAAAGCCCAUCUCGCUCGCCUUUCCUCGGAGCCCCGAGCACCGCAGUGCCGCUCCGGACAGCCGCCCCGCAGCCCGGCUCCCAACUCCCGGCUCUCUGCGGCCAGCAGGGGGCGGCAGCGGCGU